rnacentral:rRNA from 1 species
UACGUAGGGACCGAGCGUUGUCCGGAUUCAUUGGGCGUAAAGAGCUCGUAGGCGGCUGUUCAAGUCGAACGUGAAAACUCGGAGCUCAACUCCGAGCCUGCGUUCGAUACUGGACGGCUAGAGUCUGGUAGGGGGAUCUGGAAUUCCUGGUGUAGCGGUGGAAUGCGCAGAUAUCAGGAAGAACACCGGUGGCGAAGGCGGCUCGCUGGGCCAGUUCUGACACUCAUCCGCGAAAGCGUGGGGAGCAAACAGG